UCCUAAAAUUUGAUCCAUCCUCAAGAACAACAUCGGUGUUGCUCAAGGAUUUGUAUUUCCCAAAUGGAGUAGCGCUGUCACGCGACGAGAAUUACCUGGUUUUCUGCGAGACCUCCAAAGCCAGGUGUAGAAAAUACUGGCUCCGAGGAGAAAAGAUGGGAAGCAUCGAGAAUUUUCUGGACAAUUUGCCAGCGUUUCCAGACAACAUCCACAUCAACGCUGAUGGGAAUUUUUGGAUCGCCCUCGUAUCGGAUCGUCUAUGGCACAUUGAGCUCAUCUCAAACUCGCCGCUACUAAAGAAGCUCGUCUCUCAUCUGGUGCCUUUUCUCCCGGAUGAAUCGCUACAAUCAGCUAAAGUUUUGGCUGUGGAUCCAGA